GUCUACAGCCAUAUCCUUGAAAGGGCCUGAUCUCCUCUGAUCUCGGAAGCUAAGCAGGGUCGGGCCUGGUUAGUACUCAGAUGGGAGACUUUAUAUAUAAGUAAAUAUAUUCA
rnacentral:rRNA from 1 species